UGGCGGGGCUUGUUGGGAUCAUGG
rnacentral:piRNA from 1 species